rnacentral:rRNA from 1 species
CUGCCUACGGGAGGCAGCAGUGGGGAAUAUUGCACAAUGGGGAAACCCUGAUGCAGCGACGCCGCGUGAAGGAAGAAGUAUCUCGGUAUGUAAACUUCUAUCAGCAGGGAAGAAGAUGACGGUACCUGACUAAGAAGCCCCGGCUAACUACGUGCCAGCAGCCGCGGUAAUACGUAGGGGGCAAGCGUUAUCCGGAUUUACUGGGUGUAAAGGGAGCGUAGACGGCAGGGCAAGUCUGGAGUGAAAGCCCGGGGCCCAACCCCGGGACUGCUUUGGAAACUGCCAUGCUGGAGUGCUGGAGAGGG